CCGAGUUUACAACUCCCAAACCCCUGUGAACAUACCUAUACGUUGCCUCGGCGGAUCAGCCCGCGCCCCGUAAAAAGGGACGGCCCGCCCGAGGACCCCUAAACUCUGUUUUUAGUGGAACUUCUGAGUGAAACAAACAAAUAAAUCA
rnacentral:misc_RNA from 1 species